AUGCCCUACAGACACAAUAGAAGAGUGAAGAAAAAGCACAGAAAGGAAACUAGAAUUCAUCUUAAUUUAACAAAAGCCUGCUAUAUUUGCCAACAGUGUGGUAGAGUGUACUUCUGGUUGCUCCUUAUGUCUGUGUAUGAUCUUAACCUCCUUGCAGCUAUACCCACAUCUAGAAUAGGGAAAGCUGUGUGGAAAGAAAACCAACUGGCCAACUGCUGA
rnacentral:lncRNA from 7 species